rnacentral:rRNA from 1 species
CCCACCUGAUCCCAUGCCGAACUCAGAAGUGAAACGCCGUAGCGCCGAUGGUAGUGUGGGGUCUCCCCAUGUGAGAGUAGGGAACUGCCAAGCA